GACAGAGCAGCAUGCAGAGGCUCGCAUUGUGAGUUUUACCUCCAGAUCAACUGCAAGAACAAACCAGGAAUCCUGAGAGGACCCACAGACCCUGUGAAGGAAACAGAUUGCUCCUACAGGACCUGGGAGACACCCCAAAUAUUCUCUCAGCAUCUCAUGAUUCUUCAGCUACAAAGUUCCACUCAACUCUAACUCCACAUAUCCCAACUCCUAGCAGAGUACCUUGACGUGUGCUCCUUCUGAGCCAACUGUACUUGCCCAGGCCAAAACUGGGUGUGUUGGCAUCAAAAAAAAGAAACUUCCAGGCUCAAUUGGACACACCUCCAACAUUCAACCACUCCCUCUCUCUUGGACUUUGACCCUGGUUCAGCUCUGUGCCCCUGCCACCAGCCACCCAAAUCUCAUGUCAAACUGUAAUCCCCAUGUGUUGGAGGAGGGGCCCGGUGAGAGGUGAUUGAAUCAUGGGGGCAGACAUCUCCCUUGCCGUUCUUGUGAUAAUGAGUGAGUUCUCAUGAGAUCUAGUUGUUUAAAAGUGUGUAGCACUUCCCCAUCCUUCUCUCUCUCCUGCCACAUGGUAAGAUAUGCCUACUUCCCCUUCACCUUCCACCAUGAUUGUAAGUUUCCUGAGACCUCCCCAGCCAUGCUUCCCGUGCAGCCUGUAGAACUGUGAGUCCAUUAAACCUUUUUUCUUUAUAAAUGACCCAGUCUCAGGUAGUUCUUCACAGCAAUAUGAAACGAACUAAUACACUGACUUAGACUUUAGUUUCCUUUUCUGAAAAAUGGGGAUUACAUCUACUCUGCCUACACCUGUGAGUUUGUUGUAUUAAUCAAAUAUAAUGAAAUGAUGAAUGUGAAUGUACUUUAAAAUCUUAAAAUAAAAGAUAGAUGUAAAUUAAUA
rnacentral:lncRNA from 10 species